GAUGAACGCUGGCGGCGUGCCUAACACAUGCAAGUCGAGCGAUCUUCUUCGGAAGAGAGCGGCGGACGGGUGAGUAACGCGUGGGUAACCUGCCCUGUACACACGGAUAACAUACCGAAAGGUAUGCUAAUACGGGAUAACAUAAGAAAGUCGCAUGGCUUUCUUAUCAAAGCUUUUGCGGUACAGGAUGGACCCGCGUCUGAUUAGCUAGUUGGUAAGGUAACGGCUUACCAAGGCGACGAUCAGUAGCCGACCUGAGAGGGUGAUCGGCCACAUUGGAACUGAGACACGGUCCAAACUCCUACGGGAGGCAGCAGUGGGGAAUAUUGCACAAUGGGCGAAAGCCUGAUGCAGCAACGCCGCGUGAGCGAUGAAGGCCUUCGGGUCGUAAAGCUCUGUCCUCAAGGAAGAUAAUGACGGUACUUGAGGAGGAAGCCCCGGCUAACUACGUGCCAGCAGCCGCGGUAAUACGUAGGGGGCUAGCGUUAUCCGGAAUUACUGGGCGUAAAGGGUGCGUAGGCGGUCUUUCAAGUCAGAAGUGAAAGGCUACGGCUCAACCGUAGUAAGCUUUUGAAACUGUAAGACUUGAGUGCAGGAGAGGAGAGUGGAAUUCCUAGUGUAGCGGUGAAAUGCGUAGAUAUUAGGAGGAACACCAGUUGCGAAGGCG
rnacentral:rRNA from 1 species